UAAAAUUUUUUCCUGCAUUUGCCAAUUGUCAGUUGAAAUUGAGACUUCUUAGAGUAACAGGAUGUCAAAAAUGUUUAUAAUUUUAAUUUUUACUCUAAUUGCAUCGACAUCAAUAAUGGAUGCACAAACAGAAGAAAAUAUAUUUCCCGAUUGUGGACCGAAUGGAAUUUGGAAGAAUUGUGGUUCAUUCUGUCCCAGAACUUGUCAAAGACCAAUUGGGCGAAUGUUAUUUCGUUGUCCUACGCUUCAGUAAACGCUCAAUGUGGAAGAAAUGAAGUUUGGACAAAUUGUGGUAGACGUUUUGCGUGUCAAAAAAAUUGUGACGACAUAAAUAAUCCAAUUACAACUAUUUGCAGUGCCAAUUGUGAAGCUGGCUGUGUAUGUAAAUCAGGUUUCGUUAGAAGAUCGCGAAGAAGUAAAACAUGUGUUUUAGAAAUAAAUUGUCAACGAUAAAUAAUUUAAAAAU